rnacentral:rRNA from 1 species
AUUGAACGCUGGCGGCAUGCCUUACACAUGCAAGUCGAACGGUAACAGGUCUUCGGAUGCUGACGAGUGGCGAACGGGUGAGUAAUACAUCGGAACGUGCCUAGUAGUGGGGGAUAACUACUCGAAAGAGUGGCUAAUACCGCAUGAGAUCUACGGAUGAAAGCAGGGGAUCGCAAGACCUUGUGCUACUAGAGCGGCCGAUGGCAGAUUAGGUAGUUGGUGGGAUAAAAGCUUACCAAGCCGACGAUCUGUAGCUGGUCUGAGAGGACGAUCAGCCACACUGGGACCGAGACACGGUCCAGACUCCUACGGGAGGCAGCAGUGGGGAAUUUUGGACAAUGGGCGCAAGCCUGAUCCAGCAAUGCCGCGUGCAGGAUGAAGGCCUUCGGGUUGUAAACUGCUUUUGUACGGAACGAAAAGCCCUGGGUUAAUACCCUGGGGUCAUGACGGUACCGUAAGAAUAAGCACCGGCUAACUACGUGCCAGCAGCCGCGGUAACAC